rnacentral:rRNA from 1 species
GGAGGGUGCAAGCGUUGUUCGGAAUCACUGGGCGUAAAGGGCGUGUAGGCGGUCCGCUAAGUCUGAUGUGAAAGCCCGGGGCUUACCCCCGGAAGGGCAUUGGAAACUGGCGGACUCGAGUCCCGGAGAGGAAGGUGGAAUUCCUGGUGUAGCGGUGAAAUGCGUAGAUAUCAGGAGGAAUACCGGUGGCGAAGGCGGCCUUCUGGACGGUGACUGACGCUGAGACGCGAAAGCGCGGGGAGCAAACAGGAUUAGAUACCCUGGUAGUCCACGCUGUAAACGAUGAGCACUAGGUGUCGUGGGUAUUGACCCCCGCGGUGCCGACGCUAACGCAUUAAGUGCUCCGCCUGGGGACUACGGCCGCAAGGUUA